rnacentral:rRNA from 1 species
AAAGUUCCCUUCGGGGAGCGAGUAGAGUGGCGCACGGGUGAGUAACACGUAGGUAAUCUACCUUUGGAUUGGGAAUAACAACCGGAAACGGUUGCUAAUACCGAAUAAUGCAGCGGCACCUAAUGGUGACAGUUGUUAAAGCGGGGGAUCGCAAGACCUCGCGUCUAAAGAGGAGCCUGCGGCGGAUUAGCUAGUUGGUAAGGUAAUGGCUUACCAAGGCUAUGAUCCGUAGCCGGCCUGAGAGGGCGGUCGGCCACACUGACACUGACAUACGGGUCAGACUCCUACGGGAGGCAGCAGUCGGGAAUUUUGGGCAAUGGGCGAAAGCCUGACCCAGCAACGCCGCGUGAAGGAUGAAAUCCUUCGGGAUGUAAACUUCGCAAGAACGGGAAGAAUAAGUAAGAGCUAACAUCUCUUAUGAUGACGGUACUGUUUGUAAGCUCCGGCUAACUCCGUGCCAGCAGCCGCGGUAAUACGGGGGGAGCAAGCGUUGUUCGGAUUUACUGGGCGUAAAGGGCGCGUAGGCGGCCACCGCAAGUCGAUUGUGAAAUCUCCGGGCUUAACCCGGAAAGGUCAACCGAUACUGCGGGGCUAGAGUGCAGAAGGGGCAACUGGAAUUCUCGGUGUAGCGGUGAAAUGCGUAGAUAUCGAGAGGAACACCUGCGGCGAAGGCGGGUUGCUGGGCUGACACUGACGCUGAAGUGCGAAAGCUAGGGGAGCGAACGGGAUUAGAUACCCCGGUAGUCCUAGCCUUAAACGAUGAAUGCUUGGUGUCUGGGGUUUUAUAGUCCCCGGGUGCCGUCGCUAACGCUUUAAGCAUU